rnacentral:rRNA from 1 species
GUAGGGAAUCUUCCACAAUGGACGCAAGUCUGAUGGAGCAACGCCGCGUGAGUGAAGAAGGUCUUCGGAUCGUAAACUCUGUUGUUAGAGAAGAACACGAGUGAGAGUAACUGUUCAUUCGAUGACGGUAUCUAACCAGCAAGUCACGGCUAACUACGUGCCAG